rnacentral:rRNA from 1 species
AAGCUUACAGCACCUGGUAUUCCCAGGCGGUCUCCCAUCCAAGUACUAACCAGGCCCGACCCUGCUUAGCUUCCGAGAUCAGACGAGAUCGGGCGUGCUCAGGGUGGUAUGGCCGUAAGC